rnacentral:lncRNA from 1 species
AUGCCUGUGCAAACCAGUUACUCUGGCGCUGCGGACGGGUGUAAUGAUCCCUUUACUCUGAAAGGAGUAAGGAACCAUCAGGGCUUAGAAACGUGUCCGAAAGAGCGGCUCGGAGGGGUUUCCAAACCGGUUUGUUGGUCCUGCAUCUGUUCUGGUAAGAACCCUCCUUCGGCCUCAGGCUCCAGGUGGAGACGAGAGUGGCGGGGGAGCGAGGGACGCGAGGUGCCCCACGCUGCCGGGAGCGGGGCUGGGGCGCGGACCGAGGCGACCCUGGGCUCGCGCGGCAGGACCGAGCGGCAGCCCUGGCCGGGGUCCCGCGUGGCCGGCGCCCCCGCCGCAGGUUUCCGCGCACGUGGCCGCCCCCUCCCGGCGGGCUCCCGAGCGGCCGGGCGCGCGGCGGCGGCGGGGGCGGGCCGGGGAACAGGGCUGCUGGCCGCUUUCCAGGUCGGCGCACUAAUACGGGCGAUGAGGCUGCGCGGCUCCAGUCUGACUGACGCCGGCUGGGCCGCCGCCGCCGCAGCCGCUGUCUCGGUCCCCGCCGCCGCCGCCGCCGCCGGGCCCUGCAGCCCCUGGGCGCGCGAGCCAGGCAGUGAGUGCGCGGCGCUCGGAGCGGGCGGCCGGGACCCCCGGGGGCGGGGGGAGCCAGACCUGGGUGGGGGAGGGAUGAGUGGCACCGUGGGGACAGGUAAGAGAUGCCCUCUGCGGCGCGCGCUGGGCCGGUGCGUGCGUAUGUGGCUAAGUUUUUCUUCCGCAAGGGAAGUCUUGGAGGCUCUUGGGCGUGUGGCUUGGUUCUUUGUAUUCUCGUCCGCGUAUUUCUUGGCAGAGCCUGUUUGGGGUGGGCUGGGUGGGAGAGGAGCCGGAGGGGACAGCCCCGGGGAGUUGGCCGCACCCGCCGGGGCUGCCGGCACCGGGGACCUGCCGGAGGAUGCUUGUCCCGCGGCGGGGGCGCGGGCCGCGCGGGGCUGUGGCCCAGGGCGUGGGCAGGGAUGCGCGCCCGCUCUCCGCGGGGGAGGCCGGGCACCGCGCACCGAGGACCGGGGCCUUGGAGCCCCAAACUCGGAGCUGAGUAACCAUUUGCUGUGCCGGGGGGUGCGGGGUGGGGGGUGGAGGACAGUGGAGAAAUCAGGGUGA